rnacentral:misc_RNA from 1 species
AGAAAAGAAAGAAAACCACAGGAUAGCAUAAGGAGAUGCACCUCUUCAUGAUUCACGGGCUGUUGCUGUUAUCAUUAGCAAAUGCAGCGGCAGUAGCAGCAUUACCACCAAUACCUCUUGCCAAACCUGGUUGCCCACGCAGAUGCGGGAACCUCAGCAUCCCAUACCCAUUUGGCACUCGCGAAGGGUGCUUCCUAGAUGAUACUUUCUUGAUAACCUGUAAUUCCACCACCAAUACACCAUUUUUGCAAGAUGGAAACAUAAAAGCCCUAGACAUAUCACUUGAUGGUCAUCUUCGAAUCUUCUCCCGGGCGACCUACGAUUGCUAUUCCAAGAACGGGAGCCGGGAUAUUUAUAGAACAUGGACCAGAUUAUCCACAUUCACUCUUUCAUUUUCCCGGAACAAGUUUAUUGCAGUAGGUUGUGACACUUACGCAUCGGUUGAAGUUUCCUUGGGACAUAGCUACACCACUGGAUGUUUGUCACUCUGUGACUCAAAGGAUAAAGUGGUUAAUGGGUCUUGCUCUGGUAUUGGUUGCUGCCAAACCUCCAUACCUAAAGGCUUAUGGGAUUUCAAUAUUGCUGUGACAAGCUAUGACAACCACACGCAAAUAUUGGACUCCUA